rnacentral:rRNA from 1 species
AUUGAACGCUGGCGGCAGGCUUAACACAUGCAAGUCGAGCGGAGAUGAGGUGCUUGCGCCUUAUCUUAGCGGCGGACGGGUGAGUAAUGCUUAGGAAUCUGCCUAUUAGUGGGGGACAACAUUCCGAAAGGGAUGCUAAUACCGCAUACGUCCUACGGGAGAAAGCAGGGGAUCUUCGGACCUUGCGCUAAUAGAUGAGCCUAAGUCGGAUUAGCUAGUUGGUGGGGUAAAGGCCUACCAAGGCGACGAUCUGUAGCGGGUCUGAGAGGAUGAUCCGCAACACUGGGACCGAGACACGGCCCAGACUCCUACGGGAGGCAGCAGUGGGGAAUAUUGGACAAUGGGGGGAACCCUGAUCCAGCCAUGCCGCGUGUGUGAAGAAGGCCUUAUGGUUGUAAAGCACUUUAAGCGAGGAGGAGGCUACUGAGACUAAUACUCUUGGAUAGUGGACGUUACUCGCAGAAUAAGCACCGGCUAACUCUGUGCCAGCCGCCGCGGUAAAAC